UACGGGGGGGGCAAGCGUUGUUCGGAAUUACUGGGCGUAAAGGGCUCGUAGGCGGCCAACUAAGUCAGACGUGAAAUCCCUCGGCUUAACCGGGGAACUGCAUCUGAUACUGGAUGGCUUGAGUUCGGGAGAGGGAUGCGGAAUUCCAGGUGUAGCGGUGAAAUGCGUAGAUAUCUGGAGGAACACCGGUGGCGAAGGCGGCAUCCUGGACCGGUAUUGACGCUGAGGCGCGAAAAGCGUGG
rnacentral:rRNA from 1 species